UAUAAACUAUCCUUUUUAACUCUUCUCGUGCCCUAGCCAUCACCUUCGUCGAAUCCCUCUCGCGCUGACUCCUCUUUCUCCCUCUCUUCCGCACGAUCGACGCCGACGACCCUCUCAUCGCCGACACCGAUCCGCCCUCUUCGGUCACAAGUGAGAAGUGGUCCCUCUCCGAGCUUCCUCGCGCCAUCACAGAUGUCGCAGUACCAGAUUUCGGCCUUCCCUCUGCCCUAGCACCGAUCGCUCGAUCCACUGCCACCUCCGACCACGACAAGAGCUAGCCAAGCAGUGCCGAGCGUUUCUCUCCUGUCUCUGCCCUAGAUCGCCGACAGCUACGAGCCUUAAUAGCCGACGUCGAGCUACCUUUGCCUCUACCCUAACUCUGUAUCGCCGUAGCAUUGGGAUUUCUGACAGAGAGGAAGGCAUCAAAUCAAAGUAUUGGUGGAUAUCCCUAUUUUCGAUCACUGCCACUUCAAUUCUUGAAGCUGUGGAGGUCACAGGAGGUCAUGGGUGAGGAGGUAAAGGGUUGAUGAGCUUUUGGACAGUGGAUUGUUGGGAGGUGAGCUGCCGAAUUGCUACCAAACCUCAAGGUAGCAGUAGAUGAUUAAUGGAUGCUUGGAGGGAUGUCGGCUGCCAGUCCCACUUCCCACAUCACACUCGAGGAUCGUUUUCUGUUUGGGUUUGUUAUUGUUUGGGUGGUAUUUUUGUUAGUGCCGUUGUUGGUCUUGUAGGACCUUUGCAGCCGACUGGAAGGGGGGUUGUUGGAUAGUCCUGCAAAAAUAAAAAAACAAAGCAACAACCCUUCCUCGAACUCUUUAAGCUAACACUUGUAUAAAUAAAGUAAAGCAGUAAAUGAAAAGCAUAAAGAAAAAGUGAGGCAAAAGGAUUUACUUG